rnacentral:rRNA from 1 species
UACAGAGGGGGCAAGCGUUGUUCGGAAUUACUGGGCGUAAAGCGCACGUAGUCGGCUUUGCAAGUCGGUUGUGAAAUCCCCGGGCUCAACCUGGGAACUGCAUCCGAGACUGCAUUGCUAGAGUAUGGGAGAGGAAAGCGGAAUUUCUGGUGUAGCAGUGAAAUGCGUAGAUAUCAGAAGGAACACCAGUUGCGAAGGCGGCUCUCUGGACUGUAACUGACGCUGAGGCACGAAAGCGUGGGGAGCGAACAGG